UUAGCAUCUGGAUGUCACCUAUCGGCGGCGGGAGCUGUGAGUACCAAUGAAAAAGUGUUAGCAUGAUACAACUGCUCUCCAAAAACAUAUUCAAUCUCUGUAGUGUAUUCUUUUAACUCAUACUCAACAAAUGAGCAACAUGUUCGAGAAGCUAAGAAAUAAGUGACAAACAGAGAGGCCAAAACAACAAUCAUAUUCGAAUAUCAAGCAGCCAGAAUAACUGUGUUCAUUGGAGGACUACAGUAGCAGAAUUCAAAACAGUAGCAUAUGUGCUCAUGAAGGUAAAUCAACUCAGCUUCAACUCUUAGUAACUUCUAAUUGAUGUAUUAAAGCAUUAAUUAACAGAAUAAAGGUGAAAAAAUGAAGGCAGUAUAGCUUAAUCUGGUCAUCUGUUCACUAAAGCUGUGACAUGAAACAACCGCAGGCCCAAUAAGGCAAUAACUAUUAAAUAUAAUCCAAACUCAACAAAGAUGUAGAAUAAAAGUUCAAAUAAUAUAAACGAACGAAUAGAUCAUUAAGCUGUUUGUAUGAAAUGACCACUGACACCAAAACUUAAUUGAAACAACCUUGAUAGAACCCAGAUGAAUCGGUUUCAAUUUUCAUUCUUCACUUUCUUCAUAUGAAGAGAAGAAAACAUUAAUUAAAUGUUUAAAACGUUGAAUUGGCAUCUCGGAACAUUUGAGAACCGAGGAAAAUGAGGGACGAGGAUCCCUAUUGUCCUAAUUGUUGUUCAGAGGUUUAGCACAGGAAUGCAAAUGAGAUGGACAAUCCAAAUGGUUUGGUUCCCUUGGUCAUCUGGGUGAUAUCCCGACUCCUCUUUUAUGUCCGUUCUCUUUUGGUUAAUAAAUACUUUCGUCCCUACUUAAAAGAGGAAAACAAAAGUUCUACCAUGAAAGAUUCUGUGCAUUCACAAACACUUUCAUUUUCUAAGUGAGAAUUGAACCAAGAACGUUUAAGAUAGUAAUUGAUACUUUAUCCGGAGAAUUAUACUCGGAAUGACACUUCAUGAAUUUUUCAUUA